rnacentral:rRNA from 1 species
GUACGCUGGCGGCACGCCUAACACAUGCAAGUCGAACGAAGUAGCAAUACUUAGUGGCAGACGGGUGAGUAACAUGUAGGUAUCUGCCCUUUGGCCUGGAAUAACACGAGGAAACUUGUGCUAAUACUGGAUAAGUCUUUACGGAGAAAGCUUUAUGCACCAUUGGAUGAGCCUGCACUUGAUUAGUUUGUUGGUAGGGUAAUGGCCUACCAAGACUGUGAUCAAUAGCUGAUUUGAGAGGAUGAUCAGCCACAUUGGGACUGAGACACGGCCCAAACUCCUACGGGAGGCAGCAGUGGGGAAUCUUGCACAAUGGAGGAAACUCUGAUGCAGCGAUGCCGCGUGAGUGAAGAAGGCCUUUGGGUUGUAAAGCUCUUUCGUCGGGGAAGAAAAUGACUGUACCCGAAUAAGAAGGUCCGGCUAACU